AUUGAACGCUGGCGGCAGGCCUAACACAUGCAAGUCGAGCGGAGCGGCGGACGGGUGAGUAAUGCCUAGGAAUCUGCCUGGUAGUGGGGGAUAACUUCCGGAAACGGGCGCUAAUGCCGCAUACUAUCAGAUGAGCGUAGGUCGGAUUAGCUAGUUGGUGGGGUAAAGGCCUACCAAGGCGACGAUCCGUAGCUGGUCUGAGAGGAGGAUCAGCCACACUGGAACUGAGACACGGUCCAGACUCCUACGGGAGGCAGCAGUGGGGAAUAUUGGACAAUGGGCGAAAGCCUGAUCCAGCCAUGCCGCGUGUGUGAAGAAGGUCUUCGGAUUGUAAAGCACUUUAAGUUGGGAGGCGUUACCAACAGAAUAAGCACCGGCUAACUACGUGCCAGCAGCCGCGGUAAUUC
rnacentral:rRNA from 1 species